GUGAGGAAUAUUGGUCAAUGGGCGGGAGCCUGAACCAGCCAAGUCGCGUGAAGGAAGAAGGAUCUAUGGUUCGUAAACUUCUUUUGCAGGGGAAUAAAGUGCAGGACGUGUCCUGUUUUGUAUGUACCCUGAGAAUAAGGAUCGGCUAACUCCGUGCCAGCAGCCGCGGUAAUACGGAGGAUCCGAGCGUUAUCCGGAUUUAUUGGGUUUAAAGGGUGCGUAGGUGGUUUGAUAAGUCAGCGGUGAAAGUUUGCAGCUUAACUGUAAAAAUGCCGUUGAAACUGUCGGACUUGAGUGUAAAUGAGGUAGGCGUAAUGCGUGGUGUAGCGGUGAAAUGCAUAGAUAUCACGCAGAACUCCGAUUGCGAAGGCAGCUUACUAAGCUACAACUGACACUGAAGCACGAAAGCGUGGGGAUCAAACAGGAUUAGAUACCCCGGUAGUCC
rnacentral:rRNA from 1 species